AGAUUGAACGCUGGCGGCAUGCCUUACACAUGCAAGUCGAACGGCAGCACGGGGGCAACCCUGGUGGCGAGUGGCGAACGGGUGAGUAAUACAUCGGAACGUGUCCUGUAGUGGGGGAUAGCUCGGCGAAAGCCGGAUUAAUACCGCAUACGCUCUACGGAGGAAAGCGGGGGAUCUUCGGACCUCGCGCUAAAGGGGCGGCCGAUGGCAGAUUAGCUAGUUGGUGGGGUAAAGGCCUACCAAGGCGACGAUCUGUAGCUGGUCUGAGAGGAUGAUCAGCCACACUGGGACUGAGACACGGCCCAGACUCCUACGGGAGGCAGCAGUGGGGAAUAUUGGACAAUGGGCGAAAGCCUGAUCCAGCAAUGCCGCGUGGGUGAAGAAGGUCUUCGGAUUGUAAAGCCCUUUCGGCGGGGACGAUGAUGACGGUACCGCAGAAGAAGCCCGGCUAACUUCGUGCCAGCAGCCGC
rnacentral:rRNA from 1 species